AGAGUUUGAUCAUGGCUCAGGACGAACGCUGGCGGCGCGCCUAACACAUGCAAGUCGAACGGAGUUAUGUUGGUUGAAGUUUUCGGAUGGAUACCGACAUAACUUAGUGGCGAACGGGUGAGUAACGCGUGAGUAACCUGCCCUGGAGUGGGGGACAACAGUUGGAAACGACUGCUAAUACCGCAUAAGCCCACGAUCCGGCAUCGGAUUGAGGGAAAAGGAUUUAUUCGCUUCAGGAUGGACUCGCGUCCAAUUAGCUAGUUGGUGAGGUAACGGCCCACCAAGGCGACGAUUGGUAGCCGG
rnacentral:rRNA from 1 species